rnacentral:lncRNA from 1 species
CCACCACUCGGUCGACUGCUGUAGAGUCCUCCGCCUGUGCUGCAUAGACUCUGCCACUCGGAGCCUGCUGUCGCCGCUCACCCUGUCGCGGCAUGGAUGAUCUAUCCUCCUGGCGGUAACUCGGUGCUGCUCUGUAAGUCUGCUGAGGUGCUGGUGGAGCUGAAGCUGACGAUGGUGCUGGAGAUGCUGCUCGAGGACAAGCUGCCCUCAUGUGUCCAGGCUGACCACAUCCGUAGCACCGGCCCUCCCUCUGCUCGCACUGUCUGGGCCAGUGUGGUCCUCCGCAGAUCACACACUGCGGCGUCCUCUCUGGCUAUCCCCUCUGACGAGAGUCCCUGGAUCGCUGACGCCCCGAGAACCCACGACCCUGAGAACGCGAUCG